UACGUAGGAGACGAGCGUUGUCCGGAAUUAUUGGGCGUAAAGGGCUCGUAGGCGGUUUGUCGCGUCGGGAGUGAAAACACUGGGCUUAACUCAGUGCUUGCUUCCGAUACGGGCAGACUAGAGGUAUUCAGGGGAGAACGGAAUUCCUGGUGUAGCGGUGAAAUGCGCAGAUAUCAGGAGGAACACCGGUGGCGAAGGCGGUUCUCUGGGAAUGUCCUGACGCUGAGGAGCGAAAGUGUGGGGAGCGAACAGG
rnacentral:rRNA from 1 species